rnacentral:rRNA from 1 species
AGCGAGAGGAAGGUGGGAAUCCUUCCGGCCGAAUAUCUAAGGUUUCCAGAGUAAAGCUGAUCUGCUCUGGGUAAGUCGGGGCCUAAGGAGAGGUCGAAAGACGUAUCCGAUGGACAACAGGUUUAGAUUCCUGUACCACAUAUAAACAGAACUGUGGGGACGCAUGUGGAAAGCAUAAGCCGGGAAUGGAAAUACCGGUACAAACGGAAGAGGUGUCAGGCUGGCAAAUCCGCCUGGCAAGCCAAAGACGUGAUGUGGAGCGAAAUAAAAGUAGCGAAGUAUGUGAGCCAUGUGCCGAGAAAAGCCGCUAUUGUUUUAUAUGUGCCCGUACCGUAAACCGACACAGGUGGAUGAGGAGAGAAUCCUAAGGCCGACGGAAGAAGCAUUGUUAAGGAACUCGGCAAAAUGACCCCGUAACUUCGGGAGAAGGGGUGCCCACUUCAGGGUGGGCCGCAGAGAAUAGGCUCAAGCAACUGUUUAGCAAAAACACAGGUCUAUGCGAAACCGUAAGGUGAAGUAUAUGGGCUGACGCCUGCCCGGUGCUGGAAGGUUAAGAGGAGAGGUUAGUCGCAAGAUGAAGCUUUGAAUUUAAGCCCCAGUAAACGGCGGCCGUAACUAUAACGGUCCUAAGGUAGCGAAAUUCCUUGUCGGGUAAGUUCCGACCCGCACGAAAGGCGUAAUGAUUUGAGCACUGUCUCGACAAUGCAUCCGGUGAAAUUGAAGUACCAGUGAAGAUGCUGGUUACCCGCGCCAGGACGGAAAGACCCCAUGGAGCUUUACUCCAGUUUGGUACUGGGAUUCGGUACUGCAUGUACAGGAUAGGUGGGAGACUGAGAAAUUGGAACGCCAGUUUCAAUGGAGUCACUGUUGGGAUACCACCCCUGCAGUAUUGGGUUUCUAACCAGCCGCUGUGAUCCAGCGGUGGGACAAUGCCAGGCGGGGAGUUUGACUGGGGCGGUCGCCUCCGAAAGGGUAUCGGAGGCGCUCAAAGGUUCCCUCAGAAUGGUCGGAAACCAUUUUAAGAGUGCAAAGGCAGAAGGGAGCUUGACUGCGACACCGACGGGUGGAGCAGGUACGAAAGUAGGACUUAGUGAUCCGGUGGCAUAAAGUGGGAUUGCCAUCGCUCAACGGAUAAAAGCUACCCUGGGGAUAACAGGCUUAUCACUCCCAAGAGUUCACAUCGACGGAGUGGUUUGGCACCUCGAUGUCGGCUCAUCGCAUCCUGGGGCUGUAGUAGGUCCCAAGGGUUGGGCUGUUCGCCCAUUAAAGCGGUACGCGAGCUGGGUUCAGAACGUCGUGAGACAGUUCGGUCCCUAUCCGGCGCGGGCGGAGGAUAUUUGAGAGGAGCUGUCCUUAGUACGAGAGGACCGGGAUGGACGGACCACUGGUGUAUCUGCUGUCGACCAACGGCAUGGCAGAGUAGCCAAGUCCGGAAGGGAUAAACGCUGAAGGCAUCUAAGCGUGAAGCCCCCCUCAAGAUGAGAUAUCCCUUCCAUAAGGAAGUAAGAUCCCUUGAAGAGUACAAGGUAGAUAGGGCAGAGGUGGAAGCAUGGUAACGUGUGGAGCUGACUGUUACUAAUCGAUCGAGGGCUUGACCA